AACUAGCAUAUUUUUUCUUUUCUUUUUUUUUUGGCUUUCUUUCUUUCUUUCUUAUUUCAAAUGGGUUUUGUAUUGUAUUGUAUAAUCUCCAAGAAAAAAAAACACAAAAAAGUGAGGAAAAACAGAGAUACCUGAGAGGAAAAUUCUAUAGGGAUCUUCUCCAUUUGGCUUGCCACCCCCCUUGUGAAUUGCAAUCUUUCAAACUCUUCUUCACAUCCCAUCCCAGGUGUGAGAUUGUAUACAACUGAGAGCAGCUUGGCUUGAGCUUAACUUCAUUUUUUUCUCUUUUUGGCUGUUUGUUUCGCUAUUCAAAAAGGUGUGUUGAUCAUAUUUAAGGCAACUUUACUUGUUCUUCAGUUCUUCUCUAGUCCUUGAUGCAAUGUUUGAACAAUUGGGUUUGUGAAAUUUGAGAUAGAAUUUUUUUUUCCCAAGUUAUCACUUUGUUCUUCAUUUUGUAUUUCUUCACCUAUUAUAAAGAACAUAUGUUAUGAAUUCUGAAUCUCAAGUUGCUUGUUCUGCUUACAACCUUUGAAUUUCGCUAUUCUCUGCCCGAGUGCACUUGAUAUCGAAGGAGUGGUUUAGGAUGCUUUCUUACCGGUGGUCGUACGGGUAGGUAAGCAUCUGAUGCAUUCAUUUUCUCAGUGUUCAAUUCAGUUAGUUAGCAGAAAAAGGUGUUUAUUGUAUUAAGAGUCAUUGCAUUAAUUCAUAGCUCGAAAACCCGGUGUCUGCUUUUUGUUAACUCGAAAGGCGAUUGUAACACUUGUUAGCUUUACAUUGUAAAAUUGAAAGAGUUCUCUCACUGAGUCAUUUUGGCCGUCUUAAA